UGGAUAUUAACAUGUUAUCAACAUAGAGAGAGAGAGAGGUCAUCCCUGGAUAUUAACAUGUUAUCAACAUAGAGAGAGAGAGAGGUCAUCCCUGGAUAUUAACAUGUUAUGAACAUAGAGAGAGGUCAUCCCUGGAUAUUAACGUGUUAUCAACAUAGAGAGAGAGAGAGGUCAUCCCUGGAGAAUUAACAUGUUAUCAACAUAGAGAGAGAGAGAGAGAGAGAGGUCAUCCCUGGAUAUUAACAUGUUAUGAACAUAGAGAGAGAGAGGUCAUCCCUGGAUAUUAACAUGUUAUCAACAUAGAGAGAGAGAGAGAGGUCAUCCCUGGAUAUUAA